rnacentral:rRNA from 1 species
CUGCUGCCUCCCGUAGGAGUCUGGUCCGUGUCUCAGUACCAGUGUGGGGGACCUUCCUCUCAGAACCCCUAGACAUCGUCGCCUUGGUGGGCCGUUACCCCGCCAACUAGCUAAUGUCACGCAUGCCCAUCCGUCUCCGGAGUCGCCUCCUUUGGCCGAAAGAAGAUGCCUCCCCUCGGCCACAUGCGGUAUUAGGCCGGAUUUCUCCGGGUUAUCCCGCUGAAACCGGGCAGGUUGCAUACGCGUUACUCACCCGUGCGCCGGUCGCCGG